rnacentral:rRNA from 1 species
GAUGAACGCUAGCUACAGGCUUAACACAUGCAAGUCGAGGGGAAACGAUAGAGAAAGCUUGCUUUUUCUAGGCGUCGACCGGCGCACGGGUGAGUAACGCGUAUCCAACCUGCCCAUCACUUGGGGAUAACCUUGCGAAAGUAAGACUAAUACCCAAUGACGUCUCUAGAAGACAUCUGAAGGAGAUUAAAGAUUUAUCGGUGAUGGAUGGGAUGCGUCUGAUUAGCUUGUUGGCGGGGUAACGGCCCACCAAGGCGACGAUCAGUAGGGGUUCUGAGAAGAAGGUCCCCCACAAUGGAACUGAGACACGGGGCAAACUCAUACGGGAGGCAGCAGUGGGGAAUAUUGGUAAAUGGACGAGAGUCUGAACCAGCCAAGUAGCGUGCAGGAAGACGGCCCUAUGGGUUGUAAACUGCUUUUAUAAGGGAAUAAAGUGAGUCUCGUGAGACUUUUUGCAUGUACCUUAUGAAUAAGGACCGGCUAAUUCCGUGCCAGCCGCCGCCGUAA